AGUGGUGUAGAUGGCAAGCAUACUUGACUGUGACUCAAGAGACACGAGUUCAAUUCUCGUCUUUACCCCCA
rnacentral:tRNA from 1 species